GGAGCUGAGAUGUGCCACACAGGCCGGAGGUGUCUUUGGGGAUCAGCCUCUUGCAAGAGUGCAGAAAGCAACAUAUCCUGUGAGCAUCAGCAGGCUUUAGCGCCCAUGCUGACUUCCAGAUUGGCUUUUACAAAUAUUUUCUAAUUGAUCCAAAUGUGGUCUUGAAGAUGGAAUUUUAUUUUUUUUUCAGUUAAUUUUUUUUAAAAUCUAUUAUGUACUUGAGGAGACUUCAUUGUCCAACUAUCUUAUUAUUUGUUACAUAGAAAAAUAUGUUUGUGAAUGGCUCCAUUAUUUCAGCAGUUAGCCUUCUGCUGCACAGAAAGUUUCCUUUCUGAACAGCCACUCAUUCAUUCUGCUACACCAUUGUACAUUUUAUGGCUUGCCAUACCAAAGAAAAAAAAAUUCUUUUCUUUUUUAUUUCUUUCAGUGCUCCAAUUAUUGUAAUAGUUUCAAAAGUGGCUUCCACUUUAUUUAUACCACAUCACUUGGGUAAAGGAUAGCUACCCACAAUAAAUCCAGUUAUUUUCCAAAGUAGAUUGCUCAUUAAAUAUUGUAUAUAAAAGAGCCCUCUGAGAUUCUGAAUAAUCCACAAAAUGUUUUUUAGAUAUCUCUUUCUACUUAAAUAAAUAAUUGCAGUCAUGAACGUGAACCGAGUACUGUGCUUGUAAGGUUGAAUUAAUAAAAACUGAACUUUAUAUAAGCCUCGGCUACAGAGCAUUAUGCUGGUGAAGAAUUUCAGGUGCAAAUAAUCAGAGAUUACUACACAUGAGGGAAUUCACCAGUGGUCAUGAAUACCCUCAAUCUACUUCCGUGAGGUAAGCAAUAUAUUCUCUAAUAUGAUAUAGUGCAGGCUCUGUUACAGUGCUUUAUAAGUUUUUACUGAACUGAAGUCUUCUUCCUGUUCUACUCAUAUUGCUACUUAUCUGUACUUAGAAAAUUUUUGCUUGAUAGCAAACACUGAGGAGCAACAGCAAGCUCUCACGGAGAUCCUUACUGGAGAAACAGGGUGAAAAUACGUAGAGGUAACUUGAGACACCGAAAACUGCUAACAGAUGAAAAUUGACAAGUUGUGGGCUGAGAGUGAGACUAUGAGAAUGCAGUAUCUACUAAUGCAAUCCACCUGAAUGCAAGUAUUUGCAUAGAAAGACUCCACUGUUCUGUUAUUUUAACAACAAAUAUUUUCCAGCUGCAUAAGGAACCGUUUAAUAUUUUCAGAGUAACAUGUCCUCAGGCGAUUUGUUUAUUUACAAGUACAAUCCAAAAAUUAGCUAGGAAUAUAUUUACAUCUUGUAUGCACGAGCAAGCAUUUAGCACAUGAUGCUAAGAACACAAAUAAAAUCCAUACAUUUAAAGUUUUUAGAUCAAAAUAUUUGCCUUUUAUUCUUAUCCUUUCCCUUUUUCCUUUUAUUUUCUUUUUUUUUUUUCCAGACACUUUGGACUACGUAAUGCAUUAUACAGACCCCAAAUUAGCUAGCAUGCCAGCAGAAGCAGUGAGCUUCACCUAUCCAAGUAUUUAAAAAGCUUGCAAGCACACACUGUCUCCUGUGCAGCCCGGAGAUCCCUGUUGAGUCUAUGCCAAGUCCCUGAAAAGUUGGACACUGCAUCCGGUAUUUACACUAAGCUAAAAUUCUAAUCAGCACUAACAGCAGUGUGUUUUAAUUCACCCUUAUGAUUUUAUUUCAAUCUGCUAAGUAGCACAACUGCCAGAAAGAAACUGCU